GGUUUCCUCAAAGCCAAUACCACUCUCAGUUAUGUCAAUUAUACAGGUAAAUGCAUUAGCAACGGCUUGUAUAAUGAUAUGAUCGCACCAAGUGCCAAGUUUUGACAUCAUUCUUAAAUAAUCUAACCACAAAUCAUGAACAUUGAAUUCAAUAUAAUAUUCAGGGUGUGUUGUUAAGUGAUUAACGCGUGCCAAACAAAUUUCUAAAUGGCGAUCUGGCGUGCCAAAUAGCUGGUGAGAAACUGAUUUAAAGAAGCAAUCACCUGAUCCACCUACAUCAUAAGGUUUUAAAUUUUUUCUUGCUAGUCUUUCGCUCAAGCGAAAUAACAAUUCACUUAUAUUUUCGGUAUUUGGUUUAAAAGUGUGCAUAGCUUUGUUACUGUAAUACUAUAAAUACUACAGAUGAGAUUGCAGCAGGGCUUUUAUAUGCAAAUGUUGUUUUAUUAGUGUCCACAAUGGGACAUGCCACAAUUGGUUCUCACUUGUUUUAUUACAGUCCACAAUGGGACAAACCACAAUUGGUCUUUUGCCAAGAUUGGCAAUUGGUCUUUUGCCAAGAUUGGCAAUUUUUACUAAAAAGUUCGCUUCAGCUUCAAACGCACAACUAUG